rnacentral:rRNA from 1 species
CAGAAACUCAAAGGAAUUGACGGGGGCCCGCACAAGCGGUGGAGUAUGUGGUUUAAUUCGAUGCAACGCGAAGAACCUUACCUGGUCUUGACAUCCCGGAGACCCUUAGGAAACUAGGGGGUGCUUCCAUCUGGAAGAAUCUGGAGACAGGUGCUGCAUGGCUGUCGUCAGCUCGUGUCGUGAGAUGUUGGGUUAAGUCCCGCAACGAGCGCAACCCUUGCCUUUAGUUGCCAGCAGUUCGGCUGGGCACUCUAAAGGGACUGCCGGUGUUAAACCGGAGGAAGGUGGGGAUGACGUCAAGUCCUCAUGGCCUUUAUGACCAGGGCUACACACGUACUACAAUGGCCGAUACAAAGGGCAGCGACACUGCGAGGUGAAGCCAAUCCCGUAAAAUCGGUCUCAGUCCGGAUUGGAGUCUGCAACUCGACUCCAUGAAGUUGGAAUCGCUAGUAAUCGUGGAUCAGCAUGCCACGGUGAUUACGUUCCCGGGCCUU